GGUCUUCUGUAUCCGUACUGAGAAUUCGUCACACACCAGACCACAAGGGCUGAUGAGACUUCCAAGAUAAGUGAAGCA
rfam:Schistosoma margrebowiei strain Zambia genome assembly, scaffold: SMRZ_scaffold0002804